AUAAAUUCCCAUCUUGGAUAUGUCUUUAUCAGCAACAUGAGAACAGAUGAAUAAAAAUUCUCAGACUGGGAGAAAAAUAUGCUAAAGUGCUUCAUUCCCAGAAUAAUAUUCUUGUUAUUUUGUCAUAUGGGCAGCCUACCUGCUUACCUCCUGUCCACACAUCCUAAUAUGAUGCCAACCAGUUAGUAUGUCCUCACUUACUUGCUGACAUGGAUUCUUUGCUUGGCCAAAUUUUAGUCACGUCUUCUGAACAUUCUUCUAGGCCCAUCUGUGCACUUCCUUGUAAAAUACUGUUUUAACUAAGUCAGUUUAGCAACAAUCCCCAAUCUCAGUGUCUGAUCACCCUUGGUAGCUGAUCAUAUUACUUAUCCUCCCUUAUCCCCCAGGUGAUUUCUGAUCUUUCUGGUCUGUUUUUAGCAAGAUCCUGUUAGGUUGGUUUAGCCAGAAUUCCCCUUACCCCUGAUGUUUCUGCUUAGUAAUUUUCCAUCCUCUGACUACCUCAUCUGCUUCUUGGCUACAGAUUCUCACUUGCCCCUGCUGUAUUCGGAGUUGAGUUCAAUCUCCCUAGCCUAUUGUUAAGACUUAGUUGUAGUCAUUCCUGUAGCUACUGCAAUGAUCCUAAAUGAAGUCUUUUUUACUGUGCUUUAACAAGUAUCAUUGAAUAUUUUUUUUCUUUAACAUUACACAAAAAGGAAAACAGCCUGUUCAUUUCAUGGAAGGACGUUUUGGAAAAAUAGAUCCAGACCUACAUAGAAAGGUAUGACAGCUACCUUAAUUCAUCCAUCAAGACCUUUCUUCUUAAUUGUGAAUUACCAACUAUAGAUCAUCAGAGAAUUUAAGAAAAUCGACAAACUAAAUGCAAAGAAACAAGCUAAUGAAAUAGAACAAAUGACUAAAGGAAACAGAAGUAAUUCAAUGAACAUAAGAAAACUUAAAAAAUAUUCUAAUUACAUUCUCAGAAAGAUUUGAGUGCACACUACAUACAUUAGAAGAGAAAAAUAAAGGAAAAUCAGACUGCUAUGAAAACCAAGUUUCCCACUUCAUGCUAAAAAGUGGUAACAUUGCAUGUCAGACUGAAGAAAGACACCUGAGUCUAUGUUGAGUUGUGUUUGGCCCCUUGCAAGGUUGUCAUAAAUGAUUCAUUGUUUUGGCUUAAGGGGCUUUCAGCUGGAUGACAAAGCAUAAGGACAAAAAAUAUGAAAUUUGUCAUUAAAUGUCUUCAUCAUUUAGCCUGUUUAAUUGUGCUAAGAUCUUUUAAGAAACAAUGAAUACAGAGAUUUCCAGAUUAUACUUCCAUGAAAGCCUAAAUCUUCUCAGGUAUUCACAGUUUAAAAAAAUUGAAGUAUACCAAAUGAUAUCCAAGUUUACUGUGAAAGCAAAUGGCCCAUAAAAUUUUGCAUUUACAUUUGAAUUUUAAUCUAGAGAGAAGGAGACCACAUAAGUAAAACACAAUCUAUCUCAUAGGCUGAAGCGUCAGGUAUUACAAAUGUAUGUGGUUAGCUUCUCUUUAUUUAGUUCUCAUUGAUUUAGGUACUAAUUCUACCCAUUCUUUGCUUUAAUCAUUUAGUAUUAAGAAAUAUUGACUUUCAUCAGAGCUUAAUAUACAACUGGCUCCAAAUCUAGAAAAUCAAUUUAAAUUCUUUAUAGUAGUAUGUAAUUGGUUAAUUCAGUCAUUUUUAAAACAAUAUAUUUGUUUAAAAAUAUUUAUUUUGCUAACCAGCUACCAGACAUUGUUCUAGGUAAUUCUUACAGAAGUGCGUAAGACAGAUAGUGUGGCUUCCCACAUAGGGCAUAUAGAUUACAAAGAGAAGACAUAGCUAAAGAAUUAAACCAAUAAUAAAAACAUCAAAUUCUCUGAAAAAAAGAGCUGCUGCCAGUAUCAGUGAAUACUUCUUUCAUGUAACACAAACUGACACUUAAAGAAAAAAAAAAAAACACUCAGCCAUGCAAAGA
rnacentral:lncRNA from 1 species